UGACGAGUUUGAUCCUGGCUCAGAUUGAACGCUGGCGGAAUGCUUUACACAUGCAAGUCGAACGGUAGAGGGGGCAACCCCUUGAGAGUGGCGAACGGGUGAGUAAUAUAUCGGAACGUGCCCAGUCGUGGGGGAUAACGUAGUGAAAAUUACGCUAAUACCGCAUACGAUCUAAGGAUGAAAGCGGGGUACCGUAAGGCCUCGCGCGAUUGGAGCGGCCGAUAUCAGAUUAGGUAGUUGGUGAGGUAAAGGCUCACCAAGCCAACGAUCUGUAGCUGGUCUGAGAGGACGACCAGCCACACUGGAACUGAGACACGGUCCAGACU
rnacentral:rRNA from 1 species